UCUUGUAAAAAUAAACAUGUUUCCACCACCACUACCGCUGAUGUGAGGAGCGGCAAUGUUGAAACGCAAAGUUGUAACUGUGGGGAGUCGAUGUUGCUCCCAGUUUCCCAGUGGGAAAUCUGGAUUCGGAACACGUAACAGUCAGGAUUUCUCAGUUCAGAGUAAACCUUGAACGCAGCAUUACUACUUUGAACAUUGCAGUGUUGCUUUUACUUUCUUUAUGAGGUUAGUCCAAGUUAAGUCUCCUCUGGUGUUCCUAAUUGUCCCCAGCUGCAUGCUGUCUCCCAGUUCCCAUGCACCCGAUGAAUGAAGUUAGAAGCUCCCACCUUGCAGAGGAACCAUUUUCUCCUCCUGUCUGCAGACCACGGGAGAAUUUGAAGCUCAUGCAACCGACUCACAAGAAGCAACAGAGCAAAACAGCUGGGGCCUGCGGUCAAAAGUAGAUCAGAUAUUCACCUUCUUCUGCUCAUCUCAAGGGUUUAGAGAUAUUUUUUGUGGUGAAAUUAAGAUAUUUCCACACCCCUGUGCCCCUCCGACCGCAACCCCACUCUCAUUUUUCUUCAAGAUAUGUUGUUCGAAUGCAGCAGCGUGAUUAGAGGGGAAGUGCAUUCAAACUGAAAAAAGCAGAGCUGGAAGUCGAAGCCAGAGGUGAAAUACUUUGAGACGGGAUUCCCCAGGCUCCAUGAUAUCAGGGUGAAAUUGGCAGUGAUGUUGACCUGGGGAGCUCCUGGAGGAGGCAUUUUGACUAAAUCGAGCAGUCCUCCGCAGAACCAAGCCCAGCUCCGGUCCAACUGCAGCUGACGUUGUUAACAAAGUCAUUUGUGCAGACGAGUCC